CUCGGGGUUUGUUGAGCGAGCACCUCAAUCGUCCUCAACCGCCACCACAGGCUGCGGGAGCGGACGGGUCUGUCGCAGUGUUUCGCCGCUAGAAGAGCUCGUCUCCUUUUGUAGAUCGUGUCAGAAGCGAGAUGUCCACCAAGUACAAGGCGUCGGAGGGCGACUGGGUCUGCGCGGAGCCAAAAUGUGCAAAUGUAAACUUUGCCAGAAGGAACACUUGCAACAGAUGUGGGAAAGAACGAAGUGGAUCAGGCGCUGCAGCAGCUGCUUCUGCAGAGAAAAAGAGGCAACUAGGAAUGGAAAUUGGUAAAGCAGCAGCAGAGAAAUCUCAUGGCCUUUUCAGUGCUGAUGACUGGCAGUGUAGCAAAUGUGGAAAUGUGAAUUGGGCUAGACGACAAACCUGUAACAUGUGCAAUGCACCAAAGUUUGGGGACCUGGAAGAGCGCACGGGAUACGGUGGUGGAUUCAACGAGAGGGAAGGUGUAGAAUACAUCCAUAGAGACGAGUCAGAUGACGAAUUUGAUGAAUUCGGACGCAAGAAAAAAAAGUUUCGUACCAGGAAUCAACAGCUUUCAGGAGAUAACAAAAAAGAAGCACCUCCUGUAGUUAGAGAUGAGGAAGAGGAAGAUGAGGAUGAGGAUGAGGAGGAUGAUGGAGACCUUUCGAAGUAUGAUAUUUGGGGUGAUACUGAUGAUGAUGAGGCAACCAAAGAUGAUAAGAGUAAAAAUGGUAAGGAAUCGGAUGACUCCCCUCGGAAGAGUCGCACAUCGUCAAGGUCAAGGUCGAGAUCUCGCCACUGGUCAAGGUCGAAAUCUCGCUCAAGGUCACAUUCCCCAGGAAGGCGAAGUUCCAGGUCCAACUCCAGGUCAUGUUCUCGCUCUUCCAGAUCCUCCAACUCUAGAUCUAGGUCCUCGAGGUCAUCCUCAAGGUCAUGGUCAAGGUCACGUCGAAGGCGAAGCAACUCCACAUCCAGGUCUCCCAGCUCAAGGAGGAGGAGAUAUAGGUCAAGGUAAACGGGUAACUUAGGUAAAAGGUCACGGGAUCGUUCAAGUACGAAGAGAAGGAGAGGGUCACGCCGGUCUCGCUCCCGUUCUCGCUCCAGGUCGAGAUCAUAUUCCAGGGACCGCAAGCAUACAAGGAAGUAGGAACGAACCAUUGCAGGAGAUACUGUAUAAAGAUGGCUACAUUCAUGCUCAUGCCAGGCCAAAGCUUGCUGCCCUAAAUGCUUUCAUUAUGUGAGUGCAUAGUAGAAGUAAGACACUUGCUUACUUAAGAAACAAUAAAUUAUCUGAACUUACUCCUGAUGAUGGUGUUCCCAAUAGUAAGUAUGAUUAUGAUUUUUUUUCUAUUCAUUUUGGUGGUUUGAUAAUACUGAUUUUUUAUUUUUUUAUGGACAUGGAUUUUUUUUUUUUCCCCAUUUCAUUUCAUUUCAUUUCAUAAAGAGAUAAUCUUAUUGAGUACUGAUGCCAACUUUUGUCAUCUUUGGGGUGGGGGAGGAGGGCUGACCACUUACUGAUAAGAACUUUUUUUUAUUAUCAACAAAGUCCAGUCCUUCUCUUUUUUAAAUGAGCUCAGAUUCAGCUCCCUAUGACAAAGAACAAAUUUACUACAAGCAAUGGAAAAAAAAUCAAACUUUCACUAUGAGAGUGUGGGGCAGAUGAUUUCAGAUUAGGUUUCAAUACAAAAGGGUUAAUAAAAUGUUAAUUUUCAUACACAAAAGUAUUGGUGCAUAUCAGCAUUAUUUAAAAGAGUAAGUUAUCAGUUGAAUUUUGUGCUGGAAUUACUGAAAUGUCUUACAGACACUAUAAUACAAACAGUUAAUCAGAGUUGCACAGAUUCAAGUUAACUCUGACAUUGGUUGUUGUGGCUAAGUAAUCAUACUGACACAUGUGCAGAGGCACAUAGAAAGACAGUUCUGACAUGGAAAGAAUAAUAGAGAUAGAACUACAGGAUUGACAGAAAAGACAAAAAGGAAGAAUGAAGAGCUGUCUGUAUGGAGAUACAGUAUGUAAAAAAAUUCAUAUGCUGACUUAUCAAUAAAAUUGUAUUAGAAUGUUUCAAUUUCUUAGAAACAUUUCUCUGUUUUAGUGAUCAAAGUAUGUGAGCAUACAUUUUGAAAUAUAUUUAAUAUUUGUUAUUGUGUGUACAUCAGCUUUAUUUUUGUUUGGUUUAAUUUGCUUUCAGUCUAUGUUGAUCCAAGGGAACAACAGUUUUUCUUCAUUAAUGUGUAAGAAAUGUGUCUACAUGUAAAAAGUAGUCACAGCAAAGUCAGUUUAAUGUUAUACCAAAAGUUUUAAGCAUUGGAAUAUGGCAUUAUAUUUAACUUGGUAAAUAAGUAUGGGAACUGAUUAAGACUUCUGAGUUUGUAAGAUACGAUGUUAAAAUGAACAUUUCUUGUAAUUUUGUUGUCUUUUGUGCCGAAGUAAAUGUACAAUGUAAACUUGUCAUUGCUUUUUUCUCUUUAUAUUUAAUAUUUUAAGUACUGCAUAAAGUACAGUGAUAUUGGACCUUCUAGUGGCAUUUGCUUUGAGUAAGAUUCUGUUUUGUGUGAUGAUUUAUACUUUUCCAAAGUUCUUUGAUAUAGUGCAUUUAAGUUAUCUUAUUAUCCAUUUAGAGUUUGAUGGUAGCUUCCCCAGUUACAGCCAGUGACCAUCUACAUUGAUAUGAAUAUUACACAUUUAAUAUGGAAGUUGUUCAUGGAAGUUUAACCCAUUCACGACGGGACGUAUUUUCGCCCACUCCCGCUUAUUGACAAGCACGUGGCGCUGUGUGCCAGGGUGUUUUCUCGCUGUGCGGGGCCGCGCUGAACCUCUCAGAGCGUUUUUCACCCACCCUUUUCUUACGGUUUUCAUGAAUGCGUUUACAAUGUAAAGGCACGUAAAAAUAUUGCCAUGUUCAGAGGAUUUAUUUUAUUCAAAACACAUGUUACAAUAAUGCCUUUCUAUUUUGAUUUUAUUGAACUUUGCCUAUAUUCUUCACUUCUAUGUGAAAAUACCAAUGGAAAGGAAGCAAUCUCUUAGUGGGGUAUCAAAAAACAUGGUUUAUACUUCUUUUUUCCAAAACAAAAAGAACAAUAUGAAUAAUCAUACAUGUUCAUCUGAGUAUGUACAUGUGCCUCAGGAUGUGCCAUGACGUGAUAUCACAGGUAAUCGAAGUUAUAUUGCAUUAGUAAUUUUUUACUUUAUUUUAUUUCUUGGCCAACCACAUUUAAUUUUACAAUAGAUUUUUGACUAAGGUAUUUUUAUUUAACCGAUCAAGAGGCAGAAAUUACCAUGAUGUCAUCAAUAUCAAGUAGUUUUCUGUGAUGUUAUUGUUUUUAAAAAGUUAUCUCAUUUUAUGAUACUCAAAUGCUUGAACUAAAGUAAGAGUAUAAGAAAUUAGUUAAAAUUAUUAUAUUUAAGAACAAUCUAGUGAUCAGCACGUCACAACUACCCCUCCCAAAACUCAGUGAGAAAAAAAGCACGACGUCACAGGAUGUCUCCCGGGUCCGGGGAUAUUUUUCGACCACGUGAUAGGACGUCAACUGGCGCGAAUGGGUUAAUGGUGGAAGGGCAAGGAAAAUUUGAAGUAUGUAUUUCACAGUGGCAUAUGAAUGGUAUUGACUAUUUAUGCUUAUGAUUUAAUUUACUUAUUUAUGAUCAAUUUGUGCAUCAUGACCCAGUUGUAAGCCUUCUAACAAGCAGAACUUAUUAUUUCUUUUUAUUUGCUAGUAAGAUUGCAGGCCAUUUUAGGUAAAAGUAAAUCAUACCUAGAAUCAUUUCUCAUAUUGACAAUAUCAAAUCAGCUCCUCCUUCAUUAAGUUAUCAUGCCAAUUUUCUGGUAUUGCUGUUGUUGGUUUGGUAUUGAUUAUUUCUAAGUUGUGUACAUAUCAGGAUGAAUGAUCAUAAAGUUUGCCAACCCUUGCAAUUCAAGUAUGCAAAAUAAACAUUGUGCUUUGGGUUACAAGUGAAUAGAAAUACUGUCAAUUACUGAAAUCCCAGAAAUGUGAUUUAGCCUGUAGAAAAUGAGUGGUUUCACAAGUGUUCAUAAUUGUAAAUUGUUAGAAAUAAACCUCUCAAUGAGU
rnacentral:misc_RNA from 1 species